GAAGUGUCCAAGGCCAGCCUGGACUAGUGGAAGGUGUCCCUGGCCAUGGCAGGGGGUGGCACUGGAUGAGCUCUAAGAUCCCCUCUAACCCCCAAAAUAUUGUUCCAAAUUCUCCAUGAAGAGUGAUAAGGUUGCUGUCGGUAAUUUUUGCUGUCCAUGUCUCAUUUCAUACCAGAAUUUUAGAAUGGAACACACCAGCUGUACCCUGGAACUCCCUCAUUCCAGUGGCAGCACCAUCCCAGCCUGAAUUAGUGUGCACAGCACAAGUGACCACCAGCCCCAGUUUAUCCCAUCUGAGGCUGCAUCCUGGCAGUGUGGGGAGUAGCACAUUGUGCCAGUCAGAUCUCUCAGCUUUGGAAAAAAAAGCCCCCAGUCCCAAAUGUAAAGGAAGGUUUGUGGAACACAGUCCUGCUGUGUGCCAGGAGCAGCACGUGGGAGUUACCUCAGGAGUGAACAGAAGUAUCUCGUUUCUAGACUGGUGUAAGAGUGGCAGAAAACUCCCCUUUAUCAGGCAUUUUCAUAACCUUGAUUAAAAUUCAGAUCUUUAUGUGCCAGAGAACCCUUGAUAAACUCAGAUUAAAGCUGUUGGGAGAGGAUCAGCUGCCUUUGCUUAAUUUUAGAGAAAACAGUAGUUGUAGGGCAGCCUCAGGACACAAAACCAGUGGUAGAACCUGCUGCUGGUGUUGUCACUCCUGUCAUCUUUAUGGGCAUCCCUGGAAUCCUCCUGGGCUUCCACAGAGUGGGCACAGGGAUUACUCCUGGGCAGUGUCAGCACUGCUGCUUCACCCCACACUGAGCCUCAGCCCUCAGCUGAGUUUAAAUGUUAAUAUGAGCAAUUCUUACGCUAGUUCUUGAAGGCUUUUACGAUUUACUUCCUUUAAAGUCUUUGCUCUUUCCUUAGGCACAGUAGAAAUCUAAAUUUAUGAAGUAUCUUCAACAAUAGCUCACCUCCUUGAGAGUUCAACUGUGCAGAGAAAGACAGGUCCUAAAUUCCUGGAAGUUCCUCCUGAUCCUUUUCAUCAGGGAAACCCCUUUCAGAGGAAAUGCUUUAAUGCAAGAAGGAAAAAUAGAGGCUUCUGACAAUUCCACAGAAAUUCAGGAGGCUACACAGUUUCCUACCCAUAAGCUGACAGGCAGUUUUUGUGUAGAAACCCUACUUUUGGGGCAGUGGAGCAAAUAUGUAAUUGGAAUUUUAUAUAGUACAGCAGGAGUUUUUAGAAAACUGAUUGUUUGGCUUUUUGGGAUUUGUAAGAAAUCAAAAUAGUUUUGUUGGGUUUUCUUGUCCUGUCAAAGCUGCUGACACUUUUAGGCACAGUGGUAACCAGAAAAUAAAAUCUUAGAUGCGUUUAAAUGUAAAAGUAAAAUCUUAGAUGCAGAAUUUUAAAUUGAAAGAAACCCCCCUGCCUCUGUGUUUUACUCAAACAACUGAAUUACUUACAGGAAAGGCUUACCUGAGUAAAUACCAAUUCUUAAUGUUGUACAGUUUGUAAAAAUUCACUUUUUUCUGUUCUACUCAACUAAAUAGUUACUAUUUGGAAAAAAACCUGGUGUCACUAAGUGUCACUGUGAACUGCGUGUGUGCAACUAAAUCACUUGGGCAAAAAUGGUCACUGUGUUCUGAGCAUAAAGCAUCAAGAAUUGUUUUGUUGGCUAAUGAUAACAUAAACAGUCUGAUUGGCUCAGCUUAAUCCUUCUUAAGUCUUAUUUUUAAAAAGAACAAAUCAUUGUUACUAUUCACCUCAAUCAUUUAACAUUGAUGCUGUGCAUAAAGGAAAAUUAAACCAAGGAAGCUUGCUACUUAAAUAAUCUUUUUCUUUUUCCAACAAGGAAGCCUCAAUUAAACGAAUUACAGUUCCAGUUCAUCCUCAGGUAUGAUUUCAUGGACCUUCUGGUUUCUAAAGAGUCUUCAAUCCUGAUAAAACUGCCCUCAGGCUAUUGAGAGCUCCAGCACCAAGGACAUGCUUUAUUCUCCUCUUCCUUUUUUAGGUUGGCAAAAUACAUUUUGAAUCUUUAGAGAACUGAAGGAAUGGUUACACCUGAAGGUUGGCUCCAGAAGAGACACAUCACCACCACCUUAGAGGAGAAUUCUGUUAAUUCUGAUCUUUGUUUUCCCAAAUACAUAUGAAGGUUGAACUUAAUGAUCCUGGAGGUCUUUUCCAACCUUAAUGAUUCUGUGAUGUUCCUGCUGGAAUAGUUUUGAUUCCAUAGAUGUUUGUAUUUUUCCAGAAUACUCUUUCCCCCAACAAAAAA